UGUAGUAUAGCUCAGUGGUUAAGUGCCUGCCUAGCAUGCACAAGGUCCUGGGUUCAAUCCCCAGUACCCCCA
rnacentral:tRNA from 1 species